CAAAACACGAACAAACAAACGCCCCCAAAACGAAAAAGAGAAAGAGAGAAAGAGAAACUCUUUUCUGAAACAUGAUCUCUCAAAUUGUUUUUCUUUCUUCUUCUCUUUUCUUUUUCUUUUUUGUUUUUUCU
rnacentral:ribozyme from 13 species